UAUGAUGCUCUGUGGUAUUUCUCAAUGUGCAAGUCACAAGAAGUGUCGAGUCACUGAUACAUAAGAACUACCUGUCUUCAGUUUGAAGCCAUAAAUGGAAUCAACUUAUAUUCUCAGGCAAAAGCAGAAGCUGGUACAAGACAGACUGGGCACUGAGGAAGUUUAUUAUGAUGCUCUGUGGUAUUUCUCGGUAUACAAGCCACAAGAAGUGUGUCUAGUCACUUGUAGAUAAGAACACCCUGUCUUCAGUUUGAAGCCAUAAAACAAUGUAAAAUUCAACUCAUCUUACAUUCUCACACAAAAAGCAGAAGCUGGUACAAGACAGACUGGGCACUGAGGAAGUUUAUUAUGAUAAUUAUUAUGUUCUAUGGUUUAAACACAGUGCUAUUGCUCAGUGUACACGUCCCAAAAUCUCAGCAGCAGGGCGGUAAUUACGCCAGAGGAGAAGGUCAUAUUAAGAACUAACAAAUGAACACAAUCAGCAGUAAAACAGGACAAGGAAGCUGCACAUGAAGAAAUGAAGGUUGAAAAUGAAGCAACUCAACAAACUCCUGAUACAAAUGGUGAGUUGUAAAAAAAACAA